GAUGAACGCUGGCGGCGUGCCUAAUACAUGCAAGUCGAGCGAACGGAUGAGAAGUUUGUUUCUCUGAUGUUAGCGGCGGACGGGUGAGUAACACGUGGAUAACCUACCUAUAAGACUGGGAUAACUUCGGGAAACCGGAGCUAACACCGGAUAAUAUUUUGAACCGCAUGGUUCAAAAGUGAAAGACGGUCUUGCUGUCACUUAUAGAUGGAUCCGCGCUGCAUUAGCUAGUUGGUAAGGUAACGGCUUACCAAGGCAACGAUGCAUAGCCGACCUGAGAGGCGGAUCGGCCACACUGGAGCUGAGACACCGUCCAGACUCCUACGGGAGGCAGCAGUAUGGAAUCGUCCGCAAUGGGCGAAAGCCUUGCGGAGCGACGCCGCGUGAGUGAUGAAGGUCUUCGGAUCGUAAAACUCUGUUAUUAGGGAAGAACAUAUGUGUAAGUAACUGUGCACAUCUUGACGGUACCUAAUCAGAAAGCCACGGCUAACUACGUG
rnacentral:rRNA from 1 species